rnacentral:rRNA from 1 species
GACGAACGCUGGCGGCGUGCUUAACACAUGCAAGUCGAACGGAAAGGCCUGCUUUCCCUUGUGGAUUGCGGGUACUCGAGUGGCGAACGGGUGAGUAACACGUGAGUGAUCUGCCCCCAACUUGGGUAUAAGCCUGGGAAACUGGGUCUAAUUCCCGAUAGGACUGCAGGGUGGUGCCUGUGGUGGAAAACGAUUUUCUAGUGGUUGGGGAUGAGCUCGCGGCCUAUCAGCUUGUUGGUGGGGUAAUGGCCUACCAAGGCGGCGACGGGUAGCCGGCCUGAGAGAGUGGACGGCGACAUUGGGACUGAGAUACAGCCCAGACUCCUACGCGAGGCAGCAGUGGGGAAUAUUGCACGAUGGGCGGAAGCCUGAUGCAGCGACGCCGCGUGGGGGAUGACGGCCUUCGGGUUGUAAACUCCUUUCGACCGCGAGGAAGCCACCUGGUUGGAAGGGUGGUGACGGUAGUGGUAGAAGAAGCACCGGCUAACUACGUG